GGCACUCCAGACAUCUGCAGUACUUAACAGGGCAUUAAACAGCUCGCACUGCAGAAACAGACGCUGCACGUGGUUCUGAGGCUCUGAAUAUGGACGGAACGUAGAAAAUCUGUUUCUAAACCUCUUCCAGUGAGUUCUUCUUGGUUGACUAAGGCUGCAAUUUCUGUUUUCAGACACAAAAUACUCUUGCCCCCUCAUUUCCUUCUUUUCUUCUAAACCAGGAAAGAAUACAACCUUGCUGUUUCCCAAGGAUAAAUCUUAGUUCUGGAAUUUCUCCUUCAACACUGCUCGCCCCGUCACGUAGUUUCCUGUUUUCCUUACCAGUCCUAACAAGAGGCUGUGAAUGUAAGAGAUUCCUUCUUAGGACACUUAGGGAAACUGUUCUGCAGUCAUUUUAAAUCUUCCACAGUACAGCUUGAACUACUGGGGGGAUUUUUCUAAUUUUCUAAUUUUUUUCUAAUUUAUUUGUAACACUGCUUUUGUAAGCAGCAUCCAAACACACUAGACUUCGCUACAUUUAAUUUUUCAGAUCUAGAAGUUAGUUAGCUGUUAUUUUCCUUCAUGUUCAACCAGAAUCUCCUCUUUCUGCAGUAGCUCACAGCCUGCUGGUUGUUGAAAUGAUCAUCUUACCAAUGCCAGGCUCCAGGGGGAUGGUCUUUCUGGACAGCAAACCCUUCCCAUUGGCUGUGGGAGGCUCCUGCCGGGCAGAGGGCCUGGGCUGAUCCAUCCCUUUCUUGAUGACCACGAGGGCAUCUUUGUGCAGCUGUGCCUGGUGCAGAACCUUCAGGACAUUCCCGUGGGCUAAGCCAGCCAGUGAGGCGCCGUUGACUGACAGAAGGAAAUCCCCUCGGUUCAUAGUCCCUUCCUGAGAAGCCGCCCCCUGAGAAAACACCCUGUGGACCUGGGAUGAGGAAAGGAAAAGGGAACAAAAACCAGAUCCACUUACGAUUUCCGUGUCUGACAUGGGCCUGGCAUCCAGGAGGCAAUGGGAAUACGAAGAUGAAUGAGGCCUGGGCUCGUGCAGUGAAGGUGACCCUCUGGAUGGUCCUGAAGGCUUUUGAAUGAUGUAAAAUUUUGAGUGACUUUUUGAGACGGGAGUAAUUGUAUAAACACAAGUUUGGCCAGUUGAUUCUAAUGUUUUCUACUGCUUAAAAUAUGGAGGUAAAUUAUAAGGCUAUAGCGAAUUGUGUUUAUAGGGAUUGGAAAUGGCCUAUACAUGUCAGCUCUGUGUUAAAAAUGCUUGUCUUUUGUCAACGAAAACCUUACGUACUACUUCUCCCACUUCUCCCUUUUUAUGUUGGUAGCUGGGAAUGAAAUCCAGCAAUCUCUGAACCCGCUGAUUGGAAUUUGUGCCCUGAUCACAUUCUGAGGCUGCUUGAGGGGGGAUUUUCCUGAGAGCCUAAUGACUCUGUCACUUACCGUGAUUGAUUUUGGCUCCACAUCUGUCCCUCCUGCCACACUGAAUCCCAGACCUGAGCCUUCUUUUCUAUUCAAGACUAUGAAGCAAACAUCUUCUUCAUUCUAGUGAAAACAAACAAAAAUUAUCCUUUGAGCUACAGCUGCAAAAAAUUAAGAAAGAAAAACAUAUCCCCUUGGGCCAGGAGUAAGGAAGCUCUGAUGUCAGUCCUCUUGGAGGGGCUUUUCACCACAGGCCCUAAAGGUUCUUUGGCUCUCAGCCAGGCAUGGUGGCUCACGCCUGUAAUCCCAACACUCUGGGAAGCCAAGGGGGCGGAUCUCUUGAGCCCAAGAGUUCGAGUCCAGCCUGGGCAAUGUGGCAAAACCCUGUCUCUACAAAAAUCAGCCAGGUGUGGUGUUGCACACUUGUAGUCCCAGCUACUCAAGAGGCUGAGGUGGGAGGAUUACCUAAGCCCGGAAGGUCACGGCUGCAGUGAGCCAUGAUCACGCCACUGCACUUCAGCCUGGUUGACAGAGUGAGACCUUGUCUCAAAAAAAAAAAAAAAAAAAAAAAAUCAUAGUACAUAAUUUGAUCAUGAUGGGAAUCCUUUAUUCUGUAAUUCUUUAAGUCUACAAUUUAGCAAAGCCAGUCCUAGCAACAGCAGAAAGAUAAGCGUCAGUGGCAAGAGGCAGGAUAAGAGCAUAUCAAGGCCAUGUUUUCUACAUCUCCCUCCCCAUCAUUGGAUUUCAGGUACAAUUAAUUAACUGAUGCCAAAAAAAUAGCAUGGCUAGGCGCAGUGGCUCACGCCUGUAAUCCCAGUGCUUUGGGAGGCCAAGGCGGGCGGAUCACCUGAGGUCAGGAGUUCGAGACCAGCCUAGUCAACAUGGCGAAACCCCGUCUCUACUGAAAAAUACAAAAAUUAGCCGGGCGUGGUGGCGGACACCUGUAAUUCCAGCUACUUGGGAGGCUGAGGCAGGAGAAUCGCUUGAACCCAGCGGGCAGAGGUUGCAGUGAGUGGAGAUCAUGCCAGUUGCACUCCAGCCUGGGUGAUGGAGUGAGGCUCUGUCUCAAAAAACCCCCAAAGUUCACUCAAACCAAAACCUAGACUGUCCCGCAGAACUUUUGGGGGAGUUGGGAGGUUGACUUCAUGGGCACCUUCAACCAUAUGUAUGCUCACACACGGAUUGAUGGGGAGAAAGAGGUUGACUAAGCUUUCCAAACAAAAAUGGGAAUACGGGACCCAGUAAAUGGUCUUUGUCCAGCUUCUAGGAGGUAAUGUGGUGCUGAAAAUAGGAACACUUCUCAGAUAUUUCAAUGUCUUAUGGGAGCAAAGAGACAAUAUUUGAAAAUGAGGCCUCCUACGCCGGGUGCGGUGGCUCACGCCUGUAAUCCCAGCACUUUGGGAGGCGGAGGCAGGUGGUUCACAUGGUCAGGAGAUGGAGCCCAUCCUGGCUAACACGGUGAAACCCCGUCUCUACUAAAAAAAAAAAAAAAAAAAAGCCGGGCAUGGUGGCGGGCACCAGUAGUCCCAGCUACUCGGGAGGCUGAGGCAGGAGAAUGGCGUGAACCCAGGAGGUGGAGCUUGCAGUGAGCCGAGAUCACGCCACUGCACUCCAGCCUGGGCAACAGAGCGAGACUCCAUCUCAAGAAAAGAAAAAAAAAAAGGAGAAGGAAAAAAAAAAAGAAAAUGAGGCCCUCCUGCAUUCCAGGACAAGUUAAAUCACAAAAAUUUCAAUGUAUUCACAUUUUUUUCCAGUGGUGUUUAAGGACACAGAUAUGCUAGAAGCUGACUAUUGCGCCAAAUUUUGCCUCUGAGAGCCUCAGCACAGUCUCAGGGCGGCCAGAUCAACCAUCAAGAGCUCUCCAAGGUUUGGGUGUGUUGAAGUCAGGAGGCCAGGGUUUGUUUUCAGCCUCGAAGCCUCGAAUCUCUCACAGCACUGCCAAGGACACAGAAAAUAGUUUUGUGCAGUUCUAUUUUUAGUACCUGCAAACCAUACUCAUUGGAAAAAGCAAGGCAGGAAGCUUCUAGACUGAGGAUGGCAGAGUAAGGAUAGCCCUGCUCAACGCUCCUCUCUGAAGACAGUGAGAAAAUAAAGGGAAAAGAACGCCGUGUUCUGAUAUGUAGGAAUGAUCUUCAAACCAAACCACAACCCUGCCUCGUGGUGAGCGUGAGUAGUAGGGGGUGAGGAAGGCCCUAGAAUAAGCCACCCUCGGGCAGCACUGUGGCAUGCUGGCCAUACUUUGUUUGAGGUUCCUGAAGAUGUACAUCUUGCUUGUGGUUGGCUGGACAGUCUGGUCUUCUCCUCUGACAUUUCAUCUAACACUAAAAUGUCUGGGGUAAAGGGGGCCUGGCAACGUGUGACCCCACCUGUGCCCCCUUGACUGGUGGUCUCAGAAUGAGACUUUCACACAUGAAAUCCUUCCUUAUUGUAAUAACAAGUGGGAGGAGGAAGAGAGAUGAGGGGCUAUUCCCUUUUACUGAAAGCGGAAGUGCUUAGCAUCUCAAGACAUUUUGUUUUUCUUUCAGAGACAGGGUCUUGCUCUGUCACCCAGGCUGGAGUGCGCUGGCACGAUCAUAGCUCACUGAGCCUCAAACUACUGGACCCAAGUGAUUCUCCUGCUUCAGAUUCCCAUGUAGGUAGGACUACAGGCAUAUACCACCACGCCUGGCUAAUUUUUUAAAUUUAAUCUUUUUUUUUUUUUUUUGAGAGAUGAGGGGUCUCACUAUGUUGAUGAGGCUGGUCUCGAACUCCUGGCCUCAGAUGAUCCUCCUGUCAAGGCAUGUCUUAACUGCACAGACCCAAAUCAGCGGCUGAGAAUCAGAAGGGAGUGGAACCUGAAGGGACUGGUCUCCUUUAUUCCAACCUCUCUCCUCGCCUCCUGGCCAACUCCUUACUAGGUGCCAAGGCUGGCUGUUGGCUGAGAAACCACACAGCCCCUCUAUAUUUGAAUUUCUGGAACAGCAUUCUUAGAUGACUUCAGUGACCCAGGGUUCAGAUGCUCUUCUACAGGUGACAUUUGAACAACACAGGCUCAAACUGUACAGGUCCACUCACACUCAGGGUUUCUUCAGCCUCUUUAUCCUUGAGGCAGCAAGACCAACCCCUCCCUCCUUCUCAGGCUACUCAGUGUGAAGAUGACAAGGAUGAAGCCCUUUAUGAUGAACCACUUCCACUUAAUGAAUAGUAAAUACACUUUCUCUUAUGACUUUUUUUUUUUAAUUGAGAUGAAGUCUUGCUCUGUCACCCAG
rnacentral:lncRNA from 1 species